GUGAAGCUCAGUGGUAGAGCAGUUGGCUGGUGUGCAUGAGGCCCUGGGUUUGAGUCCCAGCAC
rnacentral:tRNA from 1 species